UGGAUCAGUCAUGACCACUGAUGAUGUAUGACCCGGGAUCAUGACUACAGUUCUGGGAGUCUGAGGUUCAC
rnacentral:snoRNA from 1 species